UAAAUUAAAAACCCUAACUUGUAUUAUAUAAAUUAACUCAUUUUUAUGAAAAUCCCUAAAUUUCCCAAUUCAAUUUAAUAGCAAGAACCCUAAUUUUCUAAAGGAAAUCAGGUUAAAUGAAAAUUCGGUACUUUAAAACUUUGGAUAUAUACAUGUGAGUGUGUGUGUAUAGAUAUUUGUUCUGACAGUAUUUGAAGAGGAGAGAGAAGGAACUAGAUCUUGAUUACUAUGAAGAAUUUUAGGUUGAAGUUUGAAGAUUAAAGAGAACAAAAAGAUGGUCUUCAUUAGAGGUUAAGAAAAUCAAGUAACACCUCACCUACUGCUGCUACUCUACAGGUUAGGGGUUAUGGAAGGUUGGUCGAUCUGGUUUUAGCUUGGAUUUUCAUAUUCAGGAUUAUGCAAAGAAAUUUGAAGAAAUCUAAGAUUUCAAAUACCAGUAUAAGCCUAAGUGUGUGUAUUGUGAUUGGUUGUGACAGGAAGGAUGUAAAGUUCGUGUGAAUGAGAGAGAUUUAACAGAGCCAAACAUGAUUGUAGGCGAAUUGUUACAACCCAAUUUGAGGUCAUUGAAGUUUUGGUUCGGGAUGGUGUUAAAAUAUGCCUCACCAAGCUUGAAGGUUGCUUUGAGAUUAGAAGCUUUCGAUGUUUGAACGAAGAAGCUGAGCGUUGCAAUAAAAGAGGUACUUGCGGAAGAGGCUGAGAAGAUUGCUUCGACACAUCGUGAUAUUUCACAACAACAAUUCUGGAUACAGAGCAAUGCAAAGAACUGAAAAUGGGUUCUUAUCUUGGUGUUGCUGCUACUUCUACAAAUCCUAAUUUAUUCAUUUAUGUUAUAAACCGCCAACUAGAGCAGUCAAAACCAAGCUUGCAUUAGUGGGCAAGGGUUUGACUUUUGACAGAAUUGGAGUUUUUUUAAGCUGCUUUCUAAUGUGGGGUUCAAGAAGAAUGAUCAUUUUUAAUUGUUUUCAAGUGUAUAGUUUCAUCGGAAGUGUUUUUAGCCGUGAGAUUAAAGGGCAUGUGUGGAAACUGAAGGAUGUAAAUCCUAUAAACUUUGGAACAGUCGUAUUAUUAUUGUGAAGUCUCAAACCCCAAGUUUCAGCAAAUGAUCAGUCUUAAAUGAGGGAGAUCCUGGGGACCCAAGCCCAAUCAUGUAACCAGGAGUGGUCCAAAAGUUUAUUUUCUCAAGGUAUAGACAUGGAGAUUGAGAAGGCAACAUCCAACAUCUACCCACCUCAGAUUUGCCGCAUAUGAGAGCUCAACUCAUAAGCUCAAGGAUGUUCAACAAGCUGGUCAUAACGAAAGGUUGGAGGUCGGCAUACAUGGCAGAUAUUCUAUUGUUGAAGGAUCAAAACAGGCGGGUCUUAAAGUGAAUGAUGAUGGAGUGGACAUCAUAGUGAAUGUGAUUAACUGGAAAGAUAUCAACAGAAGCGUGGAUGUCUUUCUAUAUAGAAAUGCUGAUUUUGAGUGUGCUGGUAUAUACAUGAAAGUAUAUAUUUCCUUCAAAUUGAAAAAGAGGUUUUAGGCAUAAAUGGGCCAUAUGGUUUAAAUUCGUAUGAUUUUGAAACAAUCAUUGAUGGGUUUGUUGAAGUGAAGGACAUGGAGGAAGCAGAGAACUAUGAAUAGCAUUUCUCAUAAAGGUUAGUGCAAAUCAAUGUGUAAGAGCAAAAGAAAAGGUUUUAUUUGAUUUAGAGGAUGUUAACUGUGGAACCAGUUUCAAUGUAAUACGUCAUUGGAAAACACAUGGACAUUGUAUACAAAUGGUCAUUUAAGCAGAAUAUGAGUAAGUGAAAACUCGAUCAAAUGCUAAUGACGAAAAUCAUGUCGAAGAUGAAAGUGACACUGGUCACGAGGUAGUUAUGAAGGAUCCAAGUGCACUAUAUUUUUUUUGUUAAAUAAACGACGUAGUUGUAUAUUAUUUGAAGAGUUAAAUUAGAAUUGGAACAACUUAAGCAUAGGAAAAAGGACUUGGAAGCUGAUUGUUAGUAGAUAUUACUUUGAAAGAGACUCUAUUGCUUAUGGUUUAAUGCUCUUGUGGACAAUUCCUUGAAA